rnacentral:rRNA from 1 species
CCUACGGGUGGCUGCAGUGGGGAAUAUUGGACAAUGGGGGGAACCCUGAUCCAGCGACGCCGCGUGAGUGAAGAAGUAUUUCGGUAUGUAAAGCUCUAUCAGCAGGGAAGAAAGAAAUGACGGUACCUGACUAAGAAGCCCCGGCUAACUACGUGCCAGCAGCCGCGGUAAUACGUAGGGGGCAAGCGUUAUCCGGAUUUACUGGGGGUAAAGGGAGCGUAGACGGCGAUGCAAGUCUGAAGUGAAAGGCGGGGGCGCAACCCCCGGACUGCUUUGGAAACUGUAUGGCUGGAGUGCAGGGGAGGUAAGUGGAAUUCGUAGGGUAGCGGUGCACUGCGUAGAUAUUACGAGGAACAGCAGUGGCGAAGGCGGCGGACUGGACUGUAACUGACGUUGAGGCUCGAACGUGUGGGGAUCAAACAGGAGUAGAUACCCUAGUAGUA